rnacentral:misc_RNA from 1 species
GACCUCUCCACGUUGCUCCUUUGUAAGAUUCAUUCCCUCCUUUAUCAUCCAUGGAGGCAAAACUUUCAUCGGUGUAACUGAAACCUCGGAUUUGAUAUCUCCUUUUUCUUCAAGACCAGAGAAAGCAACUUCAACCUUUGUCUCCCCUACAAACGGCAUAGGUGUUCCACCAAAUCCAAGCCCUUGUCCUGACUUUGAGUCAUUUCCAUUAUCUCCAUUUGCACCACGGGCCACAGCGUUGGCUCGCACUUCCCAUGCUUGAAGGCUUCCAA